rnacentral:rRNA from 1 species
UACGUAGGGUGCAAGCGUUGUCCGGAAUUAUUGGGCGUAAAGAGCUCGUAGGCGGUUUGUUGCGUCGGCUGUGAAAUCCCGAGGCUCAACCUCGGGUCUGCAGUCGAUACGAGCAAACUAGAGUGUUGCAGGGGGAGACUGGAAUUCCUGGUGUAGCGGUGAAAUGCGCAGAUAUCAGGAGGAACACCGGUGGCGAAGGCGGGUCUCUGGGUCGGCCCUGACGCUGAGGCGCGAAAGCGUGGGGAGCGAACGG